rnacentral:misc_RNA from 1 species
UGGUUCUGGCAUCGAUGAAGAACGCAGCGAAAUGCGAUAGGUAAUGUGAAUUGCAGAAUUCAGUGAAUCAUCGAAUCUUUGAACGCACAUUGCGCCCUCUGGUAUUCCGGAGGGCAUGCCUGUUCGAGCGUCAUUACAACCCUCAAGCUCUGCUUGGUAUUGGGAGUCACCAGCUGGUGCUCCUCAAAAACAGUGGCGGUGUCCUCUGGCCUCACGCGUAGUAGAACCUGUCGCUACGAGUGCCUGUAGGAUACCUGCCAGAAGCCUAUAACUUCUAUGGUUGACCUCGGAUCAGGUAGGGAUACCCGCUGA